AGACAACAUGCUGGAAAAGAUCAACUCUUCCCGCAGGCCCUUCACCUUCUUCUGAGGAUUUCCCAUCGCACCCUUUGUGGUUUGGAUUCUCCACACAGGGUGGUGGGCGUAUGGAGCGAGCCUGCGGAGGAGGUAGUUGAGUCAGGAGCUAUCACAACGUUCAAGGAACAACUCAACAGGUACAUGAAUCGGACAGAUUUAGAGGAAUAUGGGCCAAACAAAGGCAGGUGGAACCAGUGUAGAUGGAAAAUGUUGCCCGGUGUGGGCAAGUUG